GAGCACGUAGUUCAAUGGUUAGAGCGUUGGACUUCUAAUCAACAGGUCACGUGUUCG
rnacentral:tRNA from 1 species